CUUCUUCUCCAGAAAAAAACCAAAAAAUUUCUCUCAAGUCUCUCUCCCUUUUCCAGAAGCCGGUCAAAGGUCCGGCCAUCGACCGUCACACCGGCCGCCGGUCGCCGGCGCCGGCGCCGCCGUGCACGGCGGCGGGGAGACCAAAAGUUUCCCCUUCUUCGCCGAAUCGCCUCUCCUCGGUAUUUGACGUUUGAUGGAGCAGGUGAGGGGGUUGGUGGUGCGGCGUCAGAGGCGUGCGGCGCGGUGGCAGAGCUAGGAACCCCUAGGUGCGGCGCACCUAGGGUUUGACAUUGUUUCUGAUUUGUUUUCUCUUUUUGGGCUAGGGUUAGGUUAUUAGGCCUAAUUUGGGUAGUGGGUUUAGUUUGGGUACUAGGCCCAGGGUCAAAAAUUGGCCUGUACAACACCAAUUUAAUCAAUGAUUUAAAUAUAAAUACAUAUUUUCUUCUGGAAGAAUGUUGAACAUGAUUUGAAGGUGAAUACUAGUGGUGGUCUUGGAUUUUCUCAUGUGAACAACUUGGGAAAAUAUCUUGGGGUUCCACUGUUGCACCAGAGAGUUACGAAGGAGACCUUUCAGUAUAUUGUUGAUAAUAUGAGGAAAAAACUAGCAGGAUGGAAGUCUAAAUUGCUUUCUCUAGCCGAUAGAAUUACAUUAGCUAAAGGAGUUUUAGCUACUAUUCCUAUCUAUGCUAUGCAGUCAACAAAAAUUCCUAAGGGUGUGUGUCAUGAGAUGGAAAAGAUAAUCUGUAACUUCGUUUGGGGAAAAACAGAGGAGAAGAAAGGUUUGAAUCUAGUGAAAUGGGACUAUUUGUGCAAAGAAAUGAAGAAUGGUGGUCUUGGGUUCAAGAAAUUUGAUUGCCUGAACAAUGCUUUUCUCAUGAAAAUUGGAUUUAAUCUUGUUAAAAAGACCUGAUCACCUUUGGGUGCAAGUGCUUAGAGUAAAAUAUAGAUGGAAGGGUAAAUUGACUAUUUCUUUAUAUGAAGGAAACACCUCAUGUCUGUGGAAGGGAGUGUGUAGAUUUUGGAGUAUGGUCCGGGGUGGUGUAAUAUGGAAUAUUGGGAAUGGUGCAAGUGUUGAUUUUUGGAGGGAUAACUGGAUUAAGGAUUGGGGCCCCCUGAUUAAUAGUUGUACAAAGCCUAAAUGCAUUCCUAAGCAGCAUGUCCCGCUGGAGGAUUUUGUUUCGCGCCUAUCCUUAACUCGGUUUUACCACGCCCAAGCAUCCUAAGCAUCUCAGCUUAUAAGCCUCCAUCAGUUCAUGACCGUGUUGACUCUGUACGUUGGGUUCAUGACAAAAAAAAUGUGUGUUUUCGGUGAAAUCUCCUACGCUACUAAUUGUGGGAUGGAAUUGAUAGGAGUGAUGGAAUUUGGCAUCAGAUUUGGCAUAUUCUGGUUCCUCAAAAGUUGCGUGUUUUCAUUUGGCUUGCACUUUUAGAUAGAAUUCUAACCAAUGAAAACAGAGUGAGAAGACAAUUAACUACUGAUGCAAGCUGCAUGAUUCGUGAAAGUUCGUUGGAAAAUAUUGACCAUGUGCUGCGGUUUUGUACCCCAGUUGUGGCAAUAUGGAUUUAUGUUAUUAAGGUGGAAAUGAGAUAGGAAUUUUUCAGUUUCAGUUUUAAAGAUUGGUUGGUAAAAAAUCUCACUGAUCUUGAAUAUUUCGCUUGUGAGUCAAGCGGCUGGUUAUCACUAUUUAGUAAUAUUUGCUGGCAGCUUUGGAUUAAGAGAAACAAUUUUAUAUUCAAUGUUGAGCUUACGAAAAUUGAUAGUAUUUUAGUGAAAAUUUGUUGGAUGGGAGACAAUUUUCUUAUGGCUAACCAUGGAUCGGGGAACACAUGGAAGAGCAUAAAAGGUGAUUCUCGUAAAGACAUAAGAUGGAAACCACUAGAAGAUGGAUGGAAAAAGGUGAAUACUGACGGUGCUGUGUGCAAGUUUUUAGGAAGUGCUACUGCAAGAGGAAUAAUCUGUGAUCAGGUUGAAGUAUGGAUUGCAAGAUUCACAAGAAAUAUUGUAAGUUUUUCGGUGCUCAUGGAUGAGCUUUGGGGUAUGCUUGAUGGUCUCCAAUUAGCAUUGAACCUAGGCCUGAAGAAAGUGAUUCUUGAAACAGACAGCAUGUAAGCUAUUCAAGCAAUUCAAGAAGUUGAAAAAGAGCAACAUAGUUUUUUGGUGAUCUAUAGCAUUAAGGAGCUUAUCCUGCGUAACUGGACAAUUCGCUUAAUACACGUCUUCAGAGAGGCCAAUAAGAUAGCGGAUGGUUUGACAAAAAUGGCAUUCUCAAGACCUUUGGACAAGUUUGUAUUCAUGCAACCCUUGGAUGAAGUUCUUCAUCUACAUGAUGAUCUAUUUAAUAUAGUGUGAUAUUGUUUU